UGGCGAACGGGUGAGUAACACGUGGGUAAUCUGCCCUGCACUCUGGGAUAAGCCUGGGAAACUGGGUCUAAUACUGGAUAUGACCUUUCUCCUUAUGGGGUUUGGUGGAAAGUUUUUCGGUGUAGGAUGAGCCCGCGGCCUAUCAGCUUGUUGGUGGGGUGAUGGCCUACCAAGGCGACGACGGGUAGCCGGCCUGAGAGGGUGAUCGGCCACAUUUGGACUGAGAUACGGCCCAG
rnacentral:rRNA from 1 species